rnacentral:rRNA from 1 species
CCUACGGGAGGCUGCAGUGGGGAAUAUUGCACAAUGGGCGCAAGCCUGAUGCAGCCAUGCCGCGUGUGUGAAGAAGGCCUUCGGGUUGUAAAGCACCUUCAGCGGGGAGGAAGGCGGUGAGGUUAAUAACCUCAUCGAUUGACGUUACCCGCAGAAGAAGCACCGGCUAACUCCGUGCCAGCAGCCGCGGUAAUACGGAGGGUGCAAGCGUUAAUCGGAAUUACUGGGCGUAAAGCGCACGCAGGCGGUCUGUCAAGUCGGAUGUGAAAUCCCCGGGCUCAACCUGGGAACUGCAUUCGAAACUGGCAGGCUAGAGUCUUGUAGAGGGGGGUAGAAUUCCAGGUGUAGCGGUGAAAUGCGUAGAGAUCUGGAGGAAUACCGGUGGCGAAGGCGGCCCCCUGGACAAAGACUGACGCUCAGGUGCGAAAGCGUGGGGAGCAAACAGGAUUAGAUACCCGAGUAGUC